CAGCAGAAAAAGGACCAGAAAACAGAUCCUUAAUCGUUGCUCUUGUCCCAAGCAUGACGGUCCUAGUGUUGGUUUCUGCAUUUGUGGUAAUCUGCUGUGUGAGACGAAACUGCAGUGGAUUACAACACAGAGAAGGUAGCCAGAGAAAUAACCCUGGAAAUCAGGAAGUGCCUGAAAAUACAACUAGAACUGCAAGAAACAACAGCAGAAGUUAUUUUGAAAGACUGAACUCUGUCUAUGAGGAGAUAGGAUGACAAUGAUGGUCACCACUCAGCAAAUAAAGUUUUGUCAUCAUUAAUUUUGUAAUAUUGUACAAAUACCUUUCUUUAAAUUACUUGAUCUUAGAGAUUUUCUAAUGAUGUAAAGCUACAUCCCCCUUCAUUAACGACUGUACAAGCCAAGCUCCCACAUAUGGUAAUAAAGUGGUUUAGAACUGUUAGAAUCCUCCCAGUAAACAUGAUAAACAUUGCAUUCUCUUUUCACCUUAGGUGUGAAUAUGCAUAUAACUGUAAUUUUAGCACCUUUGCACAUUUAAUCUCACUGUAACUGCACUUUGAGACACAAGAAACAAAAUAAAUAAUCACAUAUAGUUUUUUUUAUCUACAUUUAUAUAAUUUUCUGUAAUUUCAUCCAAAUUGUUUAUUUGAGGCAACAUCUAUGUAACCAGUAAACUGAGUAUUAAUGGGCGGGAUUGUAUCGUAUAUAUAAGCGCAAUGGUUUAGAGGGGAGAGGGGAGCUCAGUUUGUCUGCUCGUCAGGGGCGAUGAUUUAUGCGGUUCAAACAUCGUAACUAAUCAUUUAGAGAGCUUACAUGUUCAGGAAGCCAGUGUGUCAGAAAACAAGGGUAACAGUAGUACUAGGGGAGAGAAAAGAGAAUGAAGCUGUGCUCAGAACACAUAUUCAAUUUCAGGUAUGUGGAUAGGAAACAAAUGUCUCCCUGUGUAGGAUGCAUUUCCCAGUGCACACUUUCUGUAGGAAAGACACUUGGGGGAGAGCAGGGUUUUAAUACCACAGGUAAAUAACUAAACACAAACAGAACCCAGUGCAUUUCCCAAAUGCAUUACAAUACAGUACAUUAUAUCAAGUCAGAUAUUUUCUGUAUUGGUAAUGGUAUUCAGAUAUUUUCUGUAUUGGAAAGAG